rnacentral:lncRNA from 1 species
UCCACCCGCCUCGGGCUCCCAAAGUGUUGGGAUUACAGGCGUGAGCCACUGCGCCUGGCCCAGAUGUGUUUUCACAGGUGAAUGUUAUAUUUAGUUUCCCAGAAAAUAUUCAUAAGCACAUCCUUUAUGCCAAGUACUGUCCAGUGAACAGGACAAGCAAAAUAUCCUGCCUUCAUGCAGCAUAAAUUCCAACAGGUGACUGGAACUGAUUUGACAUAACCAUCGUAUGCAUGGAGAAGCUGAGAACAGUAAUCUGCAGAAGCAAAAGUAUGAAACAGCCGGGCAAAGAUGCACAGAGGGGUCAAAGCAUCGUAGAACCACAGAUGUGAAAGAACUGCGGAGAGGACGUUCUCCAGGAGGGACAUCAUUAACUCAACCCGG